rnacentral:rRNA from 1 species
UACGUAUGGAGCAAGCGUUAUCCGGAAUUACUGGGUGUAAAGGGAGCGUAGGCGGCAAGGCAAGUCUGAUGUGAAAACCCAGGGCCCAACCCCGGGACUGCAUUGGAAACUGUAUUGCUUGAGUACCGGAGAGGCAGGCGGAAUUCCUAGUGUAGCGGUGAAAUGCGUAGAUAUUAGGAGGAACACCAGUGGCGAAGGCGGCCUGCUGGACGGUAACUGACGCUGAGGCUCGAAAGCGUGGGGAGCAAACAGG